UGGCCUUGACAUAGAAAGAAUUUAGCAGAGAUGUAAAAGUGCUAGUUUGCUAGAGCUUUCAUAC
rnacentral:rRNA from 1 species